rnacentral:rRNA from 1 species
AUUGAACGCUGGCGGCAGGCCUAACACAUGCAAGUCGAGCGACCGGCGGACGGGUGAGGCAUGUAUGUGGGCCUGCUCGAGAGGGGUGGAUAACUGCUGGAGACGGUAGCUCAUCCCGCGUACAAUCGGAUGAACCCAUAAGGGAUUAGCUAGUAGGUGAGGUAAUGGCUCACCAAGGCGACGAUCCCUAGCUGGUCUGAGAGGAUGAUCAGCCACACUGGAACUGAGACACGGCCCAGACUCCUACGGGAGGCAGCAGUGGGGAAUAUUGCACAAUGGGCGAAAGCCUGAUGCAGCCAUGCCGCGUGUGUGAAGAAGGCCUUAGGGUUGUAAAGUACUUUAAGUCGGGAGGCGUUACCGACAGAAUAAGCACCGGCUAACUCCGUGCCAGCAGCCGCGGUAAUUC